rnacentral:rRNA from 1 species
CCUACGGGGGGCUGCAGUGGGGGAUAUUGCACAAUGGGGGAAACCCUGAUGCAGCGACGCCGCGUGGGUGAAGAAGCGCCUCGGCGCGUAAAGCCCCGUCAGCAGGGAAGAAAAUGACGGUACCUGUAGAAGAAUCCACGGCUAAAUACGUGCCAGCAGCCGCGGUAACACGUAGGGGGCAAGCGUUAUCCGGAUUUACUGGGUGUAAAGGGGGCGCAGACGGCGAUGCAAGCCAGGAGGGAAAGCCCGGGGCCCAACCCCGGGACGGCCCUUGAAACUGGGUGGCUUGAGUGCAGGAGAGGCAGGCGGAAUUCGUGGUGUAGCGGUGAAAUGCGUAGAUAUCAGGAGGAACACCGAUGGCGAAGGCGGCCUGCUGGGCUGCGACUGACGUUGAGGCCCGAAGGCGUGGGGAGCAAACAGGAUUAGAUACCCGAGUAGUC